UGAGAAUGGAAAUGGGGAAUGUGUCAAAGAGACAACAACCCGACCAAAUAAAAAACAACAGCAGAGGGUCACCAACAGGUCUUCAAUGUAGCGAGAAAUUCCCGCACCCGGAGGCGUCCAUCAGCUGGCCCCUAAACAAAUAUAUACUAGUCCAGUGAUAAUGAACGCCAUACUAAUUUCCAAAUUGUACACAAGAAACUAAAAUUAAAAUAAUACAAGACUAACAAAGGCCAGAGGCUCCUGACUUGGGACAGGCGCAAAAAUGCGGCGGGGUUAAACAUGUUUGUGAGAUCUCAACCCUCC
rnacentral:lncRNA from 1 species